ensembl:rRNA 5S_rRNA 5S ribosomal RNA
AACGGCAGCCGUUUCACCCUGUAGCCCAAGACUGGUCACCCACUGAAGCUAAGCAGGGUUGAGCCUGGUUAGUACCUGGAUGGGAGACCUCCUGGGAAACCUAGGUUGCUGCUGGUA